ACUCAAAUAGUCAAGUGGACAAGACACCUUGAGUGCAUCUCACAUUAACAUUUCAAAGACGCGGAGGUUCGAUUCCUCCUUUGAAUG